AUUGAACGCUGGCGGCAGGCCUAACACAUGCAAGUCGAACGAGUGGCGGAGGGGUGAGUAAUGUCUGGGAAACUGCCUGAUGGAGGGGGAUAACUACUGGAAACGGUAGCUAAUACCGCAUACCAUCAGAUGUGCCCAGAUGGGAAUAGCUAGUUGGUGGGGUACCGGCUCACCAAGGCGACGAUCCCUAGCUGGUCUGAGAGGAUGACCAGCCACACUGGAGCUGAGACACGGUCCAGACUCCUACGGGAGGCAGCAGUGGGUAAUAUUGCACAAUGGACUCAAGCCUGAUGCAGCCAUGCCGCGUGUAUGAAGAAGGCCUUCGGGUUGUAAAGUACUUUCAGCGGGGAGGCGUUACCCGAAGAAGAAGCAACGGCUAACUACGUGCCAGCAGCCGCGGUAAUAC
rnacentral:rRNA from 1 species